GCUUCUAUGGCUCAGUUGGUAGAGCGCGGCACUAGUACUCUCUAGGUCAUGCCGAGGUCCUGAGUUCAAAUCUCAGUGGAAGCA
rnacentral:tRNA from 1 species